GGGCUCACGUCUACAGCACAUACACUAAAAUUGGAACAAGACAGAGAAGAGUGGCACAGCCCCUGUGCAAAGAUGACACGCACAUUCGUGACGCAUUCCAUAUGCAA
ensembl:snRNA U6 U6 spliceosomal RNA